UACGUAGGGUGCAAGCGUUAAUCGGAAUUACUGGGCGUAAAGCGCACGUAGGCGGAUUGCUAAGUCAGGGGUGAAAUCCUGGAGCUCAACUCCAGAACUGCCUUUGAUACUGGCGAUCUUGAGUCCGGGAGAGGUGAGUGGAACUGCGAGUGUAGAGGUGAAAUUCGUAGAUAUUCGCAAGAACACCAGUGGCGAAGGCGGCUCACUGGCCCGGUACUGACGCUGAGGUGCGAAAGCGUGGGGAGCAAACAGG
rnacentral:rRNA from 1 species